rnacentral:rRNA from 1 species
AACGAACGCUGGCGGCAGGCUUAACACAUGCAAGUCGAACGCCCCGCAAGGGGAGUGGCAGACGGGUGAGUAACGCGUGGGAAUCUACCGAGCCCUGCGGGAUAGCUCCGGGAAACUGGAAUUAAUACCGCAUGCGCCCUUCGGGGGAAAGAUUUAUCGGGGUUUGAUGAGCCCGCGUUGGAUUAGCUAGUUGGUGGGGUAAAGGCCUACCAAGGCGACGAUCCAUAGCUGGCCUGAGAGGAUGAUCAGCCACAUUGGGACUGAGACACGGCCCAAACUCCUACGGGAGGCAGCAGUGGGAAAUAUUGGACAAUGGGCGCAAGCCUGAUCCAGCCAUGCCGCGUGAGUGAUGAAGGCCUUAGGGUUGUAAAGCUCUUUCACCGGAGAAGAUAAUGACGGUAUCCGGAGAAGAAGCCCCGGCUAACUUCGUGCCAGCCGCCGCGGUAAGAC